AACAAAGGCCACAAAUGUCACAGGAGAUGAUUGUGCAACUUGCAUUCAUAGAUCUGUAAGGAAAAAUAAAAAGCAUGCUCUCCGUGGCUGGAUUUAAAAAAACAAAAAUCCAGAAACCUUCCAACACAGAGAAUCUAUCAACUCACCCUCAUCAUGUCACAAAAAUAAAUCAGCAAACAAUUACCAAUGAAAACACUCUGUGGUGAAAACACUCCAUUCAUCCCAGUUACCGAGCCUUUCCCAGACUCUGCUUUGGAGAUUUCACCGGACCCUCCUCCUUGGCCUCUUGUUAGUCACAGCUGGUUGUGUCUUGCAUGAAACAGGAGUGCUCAAUUUUGGUUUUAGGCUAUUAUUACCCCGCCCAUCCUCUCCAUAUGGAACAGAAUGAAAUUAAACAACAUUUCUAAAGAAUAAAGACUUGGAUGCAGCCCAUGUUUUCUUGUGAGUCUGCUACAGCUGUUAAUUUGUGGAAAACCUCAG